GCGAUGCCCACAGAGGGGGCAAAGAGGGUCCUGAUGCCCCCGCCUCCCUUCCCAGGCCCCCGGCAGGACGCGGAGGCGGCCAAGAGGUUCAUCCUGGACAUGUACACGGGCAUGUACACCAGCUGUGUGGACGGCCCCGAGGGCAGCAAGCGAGGCCCCCGCUCCCGCCGCCUCUUCAGCCACUACACGUGCGCCACCGACACGCAGAACAUCCGCAAGGUCUUCAAGGACGUGCGGGACUCGGUGCUGGCCGGCUACCUGGACGAGAUCAACCUGCUGUGACCAGGCCCCCGGCAGGCGGCGGGCAGUGGAGAUGGACCCCAAAUGCCCAUCGCUCCAGCCCAGGGCCACUGCCCCCUCUCUCCUCUGCCCCUCACCUGGUCAGCCGUCCCCCGCCGACCUCCUUGACUCCAUUUACGCCCUUGGAAAGGGAGGAACAAAAUGGCCUCUGGGGAUGCCAGAGUGGGGGGAAGGUCAGGCCCUGGGUGGGAGGCUGCGUGGGAGGGCCUCGCCCCGUGUCACUGGGUCACCCUGCCCUGGGAAAGGAGCUGUCCUUCGGGGUGGGCUCUGGCGCCCUCUGGUGGAAGCAGGAGGAAUCCCCGCCGAUGGCGCUAACCCAGGACAGGUGGCCGGGCAGGGGCCUCUGGCGGCCACCACAGAGCCACCUUCCAGAGCCCCCAGGCCCACGGCGUCCUGCCCCGGUGUGCAGAGGAGGAACCCGAGGCCGCAGCGUCCCUCUCCUGCUCCCAACAGCCUCUGUAUUUAUUCCCCCGCGUUCCACCAGGCCCCCUUGUGGGGUAGACAUUAAAGAAAGGACCCUGAGGUCGGGGCUUCCUGGGGGUGUGUCCACAGCCUCCUGCCUUCCCCAUGCCCCCUUCAGCGACCCGCCCGGGUGCCAUGGCGGCAGGGGUCUGGGAAACAGCACGGGAAGCCAGGGAGGGAAGUGCCCCUCGUCCCCCCCACCGCUGCCCCGUCGCUGGUCACCGUGGGCCAGGAGGUGAAGUCCCACCCCACCCACCGCCCAUCACCUGCACCCAGCCCCGUGCCACCCAGCCAGCCCCCACAUGGUCCCCAGGAGCCCUGGAGGGUGGCUGAGCUGGCCCACCUGGUGGCCCU
rnacentral:lncRNA from 1 species